rnacentral:rRNA from 1 species
UACGUAGGGUGCAAGCGUUGUCCGGAAUUAUUGGGCGUAAAGAGCUCGUAGGCGGUCUGUUGCGUCCGCUGUGAAAACUCGGGGCUUAACCCCGAGCCUGCAGUGGAUACGGGCAGACUAGAGGUAGGUAGGGGAGAAUGGAAUUCCCGGUGUAGCGGUGAAAUGCGCAGAUAUCGGGAGGAACACCGGUGGCGAAGGCGGUUCUCUGGGCCGGUACUGACGCUCAGGUUCGAAAGCGUGGGGAGCAAACAGG